rnacentral:misc_RNA from 1 species
CUGUGAGAUUACAUAUGCAUAUAGUGUUAAUGCUAUAAGAGUGUAGUAUCUACUCACAAAGUUAUCAGGUUAAAUAGUUUUAUCAACUAAUAAAAAUGUUAUUGCAUAACUAAUGUUAUACUGUAGCCCCUGCCACGAUAUCCAGCGAAAAUUUUUUUGCUGAGUAUUGUAGUAAAAGUUAAGAUAUGAUGUUGAGAAUUAUUUUGAGUUGUGCAACAACAUUAACAGCAAACUAUAAUACAAAUCUAUCUUUUUAAAAGUUUGUAUUGCU